rnacentral:rRNA from 1 species
ACGGGGUGCAGCAGGCGCGAAACUUUUCGCAAUGUGCGAAAGCACGACGAGGUUAUUCCGAGUGAUUUCCGCUGAGGAAAUCUUUUCUCAGAUCUAAAACGUCUGGGGAAUAAGGGGAGGGCAAGUCUGGUGUCAGCCGCCGCGGUAAUACCAGCUCCUCGAGUGGUCAGGGCGUUUAUUGGGCCUAAAGCAUCCGUAGCCGGCUCAGAUGGUCUCCUGUUAAAUCCAACGGCUCAACCGUUGGUCUGCAGGAGAUACCGCUGGGCUAGGAGGCGGGAGAGGCGGACGGUACUCCGAGGGUAGGGGUAAAAUCCUUUGAUCCCCGGAAGACCACCAGUGGCGAAGGCGGUCCGCCAGAACGCGCUCGACGGUGAGGGAUGAAAGCUGGGGGAGCGAACCGGAUUAGAUACCCGGGUAGUCCCAGCCGUAAACGAUGCGAGCUAGGUGACAAUACGCCUUCGGGGCGUAGUGGUGCCGCAGGGAAGCCGUUAAGCUAGCGGCGUGGGGAGUACGGACGCAAGUCUCCACUUAAAGGAAUUGGCGGGGGAGCAC